AACCAAUUAAAAUUACAAACGAUAAUUUCUUGAAAAAUUAAAACCACAAGAAUCGAGUAAAAACAGAUAGAACCCCUCGCGAAAAAGCUUACUAAAGUUUUGUAAACAGUCUCCUCGCAACUGCCGAAAUUAGAAAUGGAAAACACAAUUCGCUGCAAUUUUAAUCCACUGAUUUUAAACCAGCUUCAAAUUACCUUAAAAGCCAAAGUUCAACUUCAACGGCAUCCAUCCUUUAGCAUUGAGCCAAACUCAAAAGCUAUAAAACUAGCAUUAAACCAACGUUACCAAUUGCAUUACCAAUUGCAGCUUUAAACCAAAAUUCCCUUGACAUAUUUCAUAAAUGGAUCCAGAGUCGAUUUAUUGGUCAAAGAAACGUUUCCAGAUGGGUCGUCUUAUCCUGCAUAGGUUCUAUAAUUGAGAAUAUUGUAAAACAGGGCAGAAAACUACCAGAAAGAAAGCAAUUGAAGAUGAGGUUGUUGAGCACAAAUGACGUCUUAUAUGCAAUCUCUCACCUCAAUUGAUAUAAUUAUUUUCGGCCCGUAACUUGAAAAGGAAACACAGAUUGAAAUCUUGACCAAUAAAGAGCAAAGAGCAUUACUACAUUAAACAUUAUGACAGAAACUGUUACCACACAUUAAAGCUUUGACUGCAACACCAUCAAACUCCAUCAGAAACCUGCCUUGGAUUUUCCAUCUCUUCAUCACCAAACCAUGUUUAAGUUACCUUGGGACUACUUUCUCGAUAUAAAACAGUAUAAUAGAAGUAACAUAAAGAAUAAAGUAUUACAACAGAAGAAAUUUCAGGAAUGAAAACAGAUCCAUAUCAAACCUCAACUCGUAACAUGAAUCUGCAAACAAAGUGGUUGGAGAUACAGGAAAGCUUUACAAAAUGCUGUACAAGGUAUCAAAUCAAUGGAAAUGUCCAUAGAUUUAACAAGUACAAAGAAAGAACCACAUCAUCCUGUGAGCCAAUACUGUAACAUUUAAAUAUACUGGUGCAUUCACUUACGGUCUUAUGAAAUGAAUUAAAAACAAAACAAUGAAAUCGCAAAAUGCCCAUGUUUCAGGUUUCAAAUAGAAAAAGAUCCCGUAAAACGAAGAACCUCAGUGUCGACGCAAUAUCAUGAGUUCAAAUGAUAAAUAAAAUUUUAAUACUAAGAAAAUUUGCUUAUUACGUGAAUUGAAACCCUCUUAGAAUGUUUACCUUGGAAAGGGUGAUUCGGAAACCGUAACGCAGAUAAAAUCCCCGAAGCAAACUGUCCAUACCAAAUACUAAAUUAUUUUAGCCAAACUAAAAACCUCAGUUUCCGUUAGCCAUAACGGGUGGGACCACAGAAAAAGCAUCGAGGCAUCGUGUAAAUUAUUUGAUCUACUGCAUGUUGAAUGAGAUAUAUUGUUGGAUAUGGCUUAUCUAUAGUAAACUGAAUGUAACAUGUGUACCUUUAACGAUCUUCAGGGAUGGAUGA
rnacentral:lncRNA from 1 species